UGUCUCUGUCUCUUUUUCUGAUUUUGUCCCUCAGUCGAAUUAUUUCUUCUGAGGAGGCAAGGACUGAAGUUGCUACAGACCCCUAAGGACAGGCCAUCGGUAACACUGGGUAAAUCAGAUCUCUUCCACGGGUCUAUCAAUGAGAAGAAAGUGCCAACUGAAAACUUUUAGAAAAUACCCAGUUUACUCAAGGAAAAUAACAUGCAUUGAAGGUGAUUGCUCAAUAGAGAGAAGUUGAAACAGCAGACUAAUUGCCUGUUUGUGACACCCAUGUAAUCAACUUGAGGAAAAGGCGGUGUGAAGACAGAACAGAGAUAUUUAAAGAUGCUGGCCUUAAAGAUUGGAUUGAUUCAGCCCCAAGCCAAAGAAUCCUGGAAACCACCAGAAGUUGAAAGAGCCAAGGACAAAAUUCUCCCCUACAGCUUCAGGAAGGGGAAUGGUCCUUCUUUGAUUCUGGCCUGUGAUCCUGAUUCAGCCUUCUGCCUUCCAGAACUGUGAAAGACUAAAUCUGUUGUUUUAAAUCACCACAUUUUUGGUGAUUUGUUACAGCAGCCAGAGGGUAAUAAUAACAUCUAGGUUUCUUUUUCCUGUUGGUGUUUUCUGAAAUUCUUGGAACUGUGAUUUGGUGUCUGUCACUAAUUUUGGAAAAUGCUCAGCCAUUAUUUAAUUAUUUCUUCAAAUAUUUUCUUCUGCUCUGUUCUCUCUUCCCUUCUGGAAUUUCAUUACAAAUGUGUUAGACCAUUUGAUAUUGUCUCAUAGCUCUUGGAUCUUCUGUUUUUGUCCUCUCUUUUAUCUCUUUGUGUUUCAGUUGAGGUAAUUUCUGUUGACAUGUUAUGAAGAUCACUGAUUAUAUCUUUGUGUGUUGAGUCUACUGAUGACCCCUUUGAAGGCAUUCUUCACCCUUGUCACUGUGUUUUUCAUUUGUAGCAUUUCUAUUUUGUUUUUUCUUAUAGUCACUAUCUUCCUGCUAUAAUUAACUACCUAUUCUUUCAUGUUAUCUAUCUUUUCAUUUAGAGCCUUUAAUAUAUUACUCAUCGUAAAUUGCCUACUAGUUUCAGCAUCGGUGUCAUAAUUGAGACUGCUUCUGAUGGUUGCUUUGACUCCUCAGACUGUUUUUUCUUUCCUUGUUGUAUUCCUCUAAAUUUUUUGUUGAAACAUAGACACACAAGACAAUAGGCACUAAGAUUUUUUUUUUUUUAUGACUGGAGAUGAGCAUGCCUUUCCUUCUGCUAUGCCUUUAAUGUGAGAGUUUGUAAUAAUAUAAUAAGAAAAUGGGCUGAGUUUGAGGUUUGCUUUCCACUUGGCUUUGGGUCUUCUCUUUGUCAUGCUCCCCAAAGAGAAUUUUUCUUCUGCAGCCUCCCCAGUUCAUUCCACUGCUAGUUUUACUUGACACCUGCUAGUGUGGCAGUGGAGGUAUGGGGGAUGGAAACGUUAUCUAAUGUUCUGACUAAGCCUCAGUCUUAGGCAAAUUCUAUGAAACUAGGUCAAAGCUUGUGUUUCUUUUCACAAGUAUUCCUUUCCCCCCUCCAGACAUAAUGCUAGGCCAAGCAUGCGUUCCCUUUUCACCCCAGGAGCAGAAGUAUUUUUGUUUUUUUCCUGGCUUCCUCAGGGUUCUCCCCAUCUCCCCUGUGUCCAUCUACGAGGUUUCUGUAGGAAAAUCUUAAAAGAAGGUGUGAACUUUUCUGUGUCUGCUUUCCCCAAGGGCUUUAUACUCUUACACUAGCUGACACCAGGCAUUUAACAAUUUGACUUUUUAAAAUUCUAGUUAAAUUCUCUUUCUGGCUUAAUUGGCUUUUGGCAGCCUCUGUGCCAGGUAAACAAAGGCUAGUAUCCCAUUUCUCCCUGCAGACACCAGUUUCUCUCUAGGGUUCAGGUUGGUUGUUUGCCCUGUGACUUCGGUUUUCUCAUGUGUUCAAAAGAAGUCAUUAAUUUUAUUCCUUUUUUUGUUCUUGUUGUUUAAAGGGCAGGAGCAAUGUCUUUUCCAACUUUCUACAUCUCCAAGCUGAAACUAGUGGUUGAAAUUUUUCAUAUCUUGAUUCAGGGACCUAGACUUCUUUCUCUUGUAGCUUUCCUAUCCACUAGGGCUUGCAUAUGAUUAUUUAUACUCAUAGUUGACUUUUACUUAGAAUAAACUAGUAGAUGUUAAAUUGCUGGGUGUUGCUGUGUGCAUUCUCCAGGAAGCAGACUCUAAGACAGAGAUUAGUAUUCAGCAAGUUUUUUUUAAGGACAUACUCUUAGGAUUAAAACCGCUGGAAAGGAAGGGAAGAAGGCAGGAUUGGACAAGACAGAAGUUCAGCUGAGAUAGAAUCUCAACAAAGGGUCGGUUGAUCCCAUGGAAAGCUCUGGAGCAGAGAGAGCUCUGAAGAGUUGUCCUGUAUGCAGUGAGGAAGCUGAACUUUUAUGUCUUCUCAUCAGUCAGUCAUUGAAUGAGGGUAUAUCCAAAGGAAUACCUUGUCAAGGCAAGAGUCUCCAGCUGAGGACAAUUUCUUAAGAGGACUGAGAGCUGAGGACUAUUAUCUGGUAGCACUGGAGGAAUAAGUCUUGAAGGGGAUCUGGGCAAUGCAUCACAGCUUCCACUACAUUGAGUCAAAGAAUAUGAAUAUUUUAAGGCUCUUGAUAGGUAUUGUGAAAUUAUUCUUCACAAAAGUUGCUCUAGAAAAGGUGUACUUAAGUACUCUUGUA
rnacentral:lncRNA from 1 species